AGAGUUUGAUCAUGGCUCAGAUUGAACGCUGGCGGCGUGCUUUACACAUGCAAGUCGAACGCGAAAGGGGGGCAACCCCCGAGUAGAGUGGCGAACGGGUGAGUAACGCAUCGGAACGUACCCAGUCGUGGGGGACAACCAGUCGAAAGAUUGGCUAAUACCGCAUACGCUGGAGACAGGAAAGCGGGGGACCGGAAACGGCCUCGCGCGAUUGGAGCGGCCAAUGCCCGAUUAGCUAGUUGGUGGGGUAAGAGCCCACCAAGGCGACGAUCGGUAGCUGGUCUGAGAGGAUGAUCAGCCACACUGGGACUGAGACACGGCCCAGACUCCUACGGGAGGCAGCAGUGGGGAAUUUUGGACAAUGGGGGAAACCCUGAUCCAGCCACGCCGCGUGAGGGAAGAAGGCCUUCGGGUUGUAAACCUCUUUCGGCCGGGACGAAAUCGGGUGAGUGAAUAGCUCACCUGGAUGACGGUACCGGAAGAAGAAGCACCGGCUAACUACGUGCCAGCAGCCGCGGUAAUACGUAGGGUGCGAGCGUUAAUCGGAAUUACUGGGCGUAAAGCGUGCGCAGGCGGAUGCUUAAGCCAGACGUGAAAUCCCCGGGCUUAACUUGGGAAUGGCGUUUGGGACUGAGUAUCUAGAGUGCGGCAGAGGGGGGUGGAAUUCCAGGUGUAGCAGUGAAAUGCGUAGAUAUCUGGAGGAACACCGAUGGCGAAGGCAGCCCCCUGGGCCAGCACUGACGCUCAGGCACGAAAGCGUGGGGAGCAAACAGGAUUAGAUACCCUAGUAGUCC
rnacentral:rRNA from 1 species